AAGGGGAGUAUAAGUUCGGUUUUAUAUCAAUGUUAUAUUGAUUGACGAGGAUGUUUUUCCUUUCGGGUUUUUUAUGUUUAUUUUUACUGGUUUGUUGUUUGUUAGUUGUUUGUUUUUAUUUUCGGCAUGAGGUUUGGUUAUUUUUGUGCUUAUGUUAUGCUAUAUCGAGGUAAGAAAGGGGUCGAUGAGCAAUGGGUCGGCGAAUGCCUGGUAUUAUAGGUUUUUUGAAGGUUGGAUAAAAGAAUGAAACAUGGACUGCUGGUAGAAAUUCGCUUGGUGGUGUUUUUCAGAUUUUGGGAGAUUGGGUGUAGGUUCUUGCUAUGUGUAACAUAGCUGAAACUGUUUUUUUUUUCUUCUUCCCUGGAACGGAACGCCGGACUUUGCCAUCCUACACUCAGUGUGAGUGAAAUCAGCUCAUGCUUCUCGGUGUAGCAGCUCAGAGUGCACGGCCUGGCCGGCGUGGGGUUUUUGGUGGCCACGUGGUGUUGGCCGGUGGUUGGAGUUGGCAGAAUUGCCGUUUUGUGGUGCCUGGUGUUGGUUGAACUGUGGUUCCCAUACAGGUGAACGGUUACUGGCGUAAGGUGUGCCAGGUGGGCGUACCCCGUGGAGGUACGCCCAGGUGGGCCAGGUGGGCCUGGCCGGCGUAGGGUUUGGUGGCCACGUGGUGUUGGCCGGUGGUUGUGCAGAGAGUUGGUAGAAUUGCCGUUUGGUGGUGCCUGGUGUUGGUUGAACUGUGGUUCCCAUACAGGUGAACGGUUACUGGCGUAAGGUGUGCCAGGUGGGCGUACCCCGUGGAGAAUGAGCUGCUGGUGAUGUUUGGCUCUGUCCGAGCGUGUCCGAGCGGGGUUUUCAUUAGUGGGUUAGGGAUUGUUGAUAAUAAGGGUACCAACUACCAGGUGAGACUUGAGAGGGUAAAUGGAGUUCAUGCUAAUGAUACCCAAUGCAAUGGUAUUGGUCUAAAAUGGUAUUGUUACCUGGUUAGGUUGGAGUGAAAGGUUAAGUGGGUGAUAUAGGUACGGAGGUGCAGAGGUGAUAGUGGAAACCACUUGUGUGGUAAGUCUCGGGAGUCGGGACUAGGAUAUUUUAGAUUAGAUGGGAAAUUAUGUUAGGUAGUUUGGAUGCACUGGCGAUAAUAUAGUAAGUUACAGGAUAGUAACCAAAGGAAGUUUUCACCCUCAUAUUUAAGGACUGCAUUAGGUAUGCAAUUUUCUAUAACGAUGCAGUUUUAUGGUAGCCCGUGAUUGUUUUGCUCUCACUCUACAUUGUGGUGCGAGUUAACUGUUUUCAGUUUUUUUAUGGUAGUGGCGUUUGUGAAUCGUUUUUUUUUUUUUGCCAGAGUAAGGUGCCUUUUUGUCGUGGUCAAUAAAUAGAGCAUUGCCUAGGCAUGCAUAAGCGACAUCAAUCAUCAUGGUAAUGUUGGUAUGCAAUAUGCAUAUCCUGCCGAUGUGUCAUCGCGCGCAUUGUCAGAUAAAUGGCUCCAGUAUGUAUAACCCCUCUUGAUACCCCCGUUUGAUACGAGCUUUCGGCUAAAAAUGGUUAUGUGACACAAUCCGUUUUUUUUUCUUCCAUGGCUUGGUGUGUGGUUGGCAUCCGACUCUGAACGGCGACGGAUCGGCACACUCGGCGGGGCCGGCCCGCUGGGCCAGAGUCUUCUCUGGCCGCUGGACGAUUUCUUCACAGCUCCCGCGUCAGCUGAGGGAGUUCCGACCCCUCCCAGCUCAUCUAGCUCCAGUGGUGCUGCCCGUGCUGCCUAGCAGGUCUUAUGGGACAUCGUCAGGUAUAGGCCAACGCCAAGGUGGCCGGGGUUUUGAAAGCUCGAAGGGGAAGCGGAAAAUACGCCCGGUUAUAUAUAACAAGAUAUAACCGGUUUUUCCGCGACACUACGAGCGUCUUCUCUGGGGCGGCCCCGGAGCCGGGCCGGCCUCGGCGAGCAGCGUUCGGCGGCAGGCGGGCGGCCGCCCGCGCCCCGGGCGGCAAGGCUGCUGAGGCGGCGGCCUCCUCUGAUUGGUGGAGCGACUCGUGUCACGUGACGGUGGCGGCGCGGGGUUUGAGUGUAUAUGCGCGGUCACUCUGUUCUAGGCCGCCCGGUCUGACGCAAGUCAGCAGUGUUCUCGCUCUGAAAUGUUUUUGCGUUUCCCACCCACCCACCACCAUUUUAGGGUUUUCUUUUUUUUUACACGCACCACACUCUUAAAUAAAGAUGGGUUUUUCCACAAAAUGUGGUUUUUUCCCCAGCUAGGUCCCCCGGUUUUUUUCUAGUUAGGACUUUUUCCGGGGGAGGACACACACGACAGGGUUUCUAGUUUUGGGUGGUGACACCAUUGCGCCGCGCGGGGGGAGGGGUGGCGGCCCGUUGGCAGGGCAGUCUCGGUUGAGACAUGUAUACUUGCUAGUAUGUCUGUGUCGUGUUCAUUGGGCUGAAUAUACCAAUAGCCCCUUUUUGUACA
rnacentral:lncRNA from 1 species